GACGAACGCUGGCGGCGUGCUUAACACAUGCAAGUCGAACGGAAAGGCCCUGCUUUUGUGGGGUGCUCGAGUGGCGAACGGGUGAGUAACACGGGAGUAACCUGGCCUUGACUUUGGGAUAACUUCAGGAAACUGGGGCUAAUACCGGAUAGGAGCUCCUGCUGCAUGGUGGGGGUUGGAAAGUUUGGGCGGUUGGGGAUGGACUCGCGGCUUAUCAGCUUGUUGGUUGGGUAGUGGCUUACCAAGGCUUUGACGGGUAGCCGGCCUGAGAGGGUGACCGGCCUCAUUGGGACUGAGAUACGGCCCAGACGCCUACGGGAGGCAGCAGGGGGGAGUAUUGCACAAUGGGCGGAAGCGUGAUGCAGCAGCGCCGCGUGUGGGAUGACGGCCUUGGGGGUGUAAACCGCUUUCGCCUGUGACGAAGCGUUAGUGACGGUAAUGGGUAAAGAAGCACCGGCUAACUACGUG
rnacentral:rRNA from 1 species